rnacentral:rRNA from 1 species
UACGUAGGGUGCAAGCGUUGUCCGGAAUUAUUGGGCGUAAAGAGCUCGUAGGCGGUCUGUCGCGUCGGCUGUGAAAUCCCGAGGCUCAACCUCGGGUCUGCAGUCGAUACGGGCAAACUAGAGUAUUGCAGGGGAGACUGGAAUUCCUGGUGUAGCGGUGAAAUGCGCAGAUAUCAGGAGGAACACCGGUGGCGAAGGCGGGUCUCUGGGCAAUAACUGACGCUGAGGCACGAAGGCCAGGGGAGCAAACGGG